GCGGCUGAUCUAGCCGCUCUGACCUUGGCCUAGACGUCUAGGACGACCUCCGGCGUCGUAUAUAAGGCCAAGGCACCGACCAGUCACCAUCAAGUCCCCGCUUCGAGACUCAUCGCUGCACUAUGAAGGCUUUCGUGUUUGCGCUGCUGCUGUUGGCCGCCGUGGCGACCGCGCUGGCCGGCCCGCUGCCGCUGCCCGUGCCUGUAGCCUUCCCGGCUGAGGCACGCGAAGCGCUGCGACCCAGCGAGCAGGUCUACUACUACGGCUACCCCUACUACGUGGUGGGCUAGGCGCCCGCUGCACCUCGUCUCACGGCUUCGACGACCAUCGGCUUCGCUUGCACCUCUCCCUUCCCAACUGGUCAAUAAACUCUCUCUCUC